UAGGGAAUCGUCGGCAAUGGGCGAAAGUCUGACCGCGCGACGCCGCGUGGAGGAAGAAGGCCUUCGGGUUGUAAACUUCUUUUAUGGGGGAUGAUUAUGACAGUACCCCACGAAUAAGGGCCUGCUAACUACGUGCCAGCAGCAGCGGUAAUACGUAGGGCCCGAGCAUUAUCCGGAAUUAUUGGGCGUAAAGAGCGUGUAGGUGGCUCUACAAGUCGGUCGUUAAAUCUCACUGCUCAACAGUGAGGCCGCGAGCGAUACUGUAGGGCUUCGAGGUUUGCAGGGGUGAGCAGAAUUUCCAGAGUAGGGGUGAAAUCCGUUGAUACUGGAAGGAAUACCAAUGGCGAAGGCAGCUCACUGGGCAACACCUGACACUGAGACGCGAAAGCGUGGGGAGCGAACGGGAUUAGAUACCCCGGUAGUCCACGCCGUAAACUCUGUCAACUAGCAAUUAGAAGAGUCGACCCUUGUAGUUGCGAAGCUAACGCGUCAAGUUGACCGCCG
rnacentral:rRNA from 1 species